UAGACACCAGUGAGAUUAUUAAAUUGGCUGCAUCUUUUUAAAUAUUCCUUAACAUGUAUUUUAAGUAUAGGAGUGUUAACCCCCCUGCCCCACCCCCUCUGGUCUCACAAAAUUGCAACUACAGUAAUUAUCUUUACAUACUAAAUUGUCUGUGACAACUGUCGACUCUAUCCAUCCCUGCUUGGCUGUAUAGAGUUGCUCUUUGUUUAUGGCUGCUAUACAUCACCUCAAAGGUGAACAUCUUUCCAUAGUAGAUAAAAAGGUGUUUCCCCUGCUUAUUGCAGGAGGGCUUUGUGAGACUAUCAGUAAUUAUCUAGUGUUUGUAAAGCUCCUUGAAAUUAUGUGUGCGUUCUAAAACUCUCAACAAGUUAAAAAAAGGAAUUAUUUCCUAUGCCUUCAUUAGCACUAUUGCCACACUCCUAUCUUGUAUUGCAGCUAGAAACAACUAGAUUUUGCAUAUAUAGUUCUUUGUAUCUUUCCAAAACCAAGGGUAGUUUUAUUCAAAAUACUAAACUAAAACUCAUGGAAACCCCUGCGCUAUCUAACCCUUAAUUUAAGUUUAAAAAAAAUAAGUCAUGACAUCUAUGCCACACAUUUAUUUUACUAUUUUGACAACCCUGUGAAUACUGAAAAGAUUAAUCUUGAGAGGCACAUCAGAUAUUUUAGAAAUUACAAAACAAAAGUUACAGAAUAAAAGCCUGAUCUGCCGCCUUUAUGGAGGGAGAGUUUCCACUGACAUAUACAAGAGUUUUACCUGAGAUAAACAGCUGGAUUGAGCUCUAUACCUACCAAACAUUGUGGAUCUAUCACUGAAACUUGCUGUUUCAUGGUUCAAGAUGCUUUUAAUUAAAAAUAAUAAAUAAUAAACUUAAAGAGUUUGGUUAAAUUUCAUAUUUCUUAUUAACCUAGAUUAAAUGCUUUUCCAUUAGACUUGUAUGGAUAUCUAUCUUGAUUUGUCAAAGCAUAAUCUAGGUCUCUAGAAUUAGUACUUUGUAUAAUACUCAUUUUUCACUUCCAGUUUGAAUUACUGUUCAGACAAUUAAAGACUAUUGACACUUUAUUUUUAAAAACAUAUUAUGUUCCUAUCAGUGAAAUUGAUGACUAAUUGCCUAAAAUGAAAUGUAUGCUUUUAAAAAUGCAUUUUCAUGUAUUUUUUCAAAUAUAGACAGGCCCAAUAGUCUGCACAUCCCCUUGUAUGCAAUACUUUUUCAAAAUUUAAAUCUGAAAAAAUAAAAUAAAUGGAGAUUUUCUGAGACAUUUGUAUUUAUUGAUCUUUGUUUUGCUGUCUAGGUGACACAUCUUUACUAGAAACUGUAAAAAUGACUAGUAUUUAAAAAGAAAAUUAAUUAUUGUAAAACAUACCAGUUUGCUAGUACAGCACAUGGAAACGCAGGCCACUAAGCAGGUGGGACAUAAGUGGCAGAACUAUAAACUUCCACAAUCCCCUUCUGGUUAAUAUUACCAAUCCUGAUCUAAAGAGACCACCCUCUGGCCAUUCAUACCUUAAGCUUUCUAUUUAGAUUGCUGAUGGAGAUGCCAAUGUUGAUGUGGACAAUUCACUGGCGAAUGGACUCUGACCAACAAAUUACUUAACCUAUAAAUUACUUUUUUAAAUAUGACUUUAAAACAACAAUCUAUCUCCCUCUCCCAGGAAAUGGCAAUUUAGUGAUUGCAGGAACACACUAUAUGCACGUGCUAGAAAAAAAA